GAAAUGCGAUAAGUAAUGUGAAUUGCAGAAUUCAGUGAAUCAUCGAAUCUUUGAACGCACCUUGCGCUCCUUGGUAUUCCUUGGAGCAUGCCUGUUUGAGUAUCAUGAAAUCUUCAAAGUAAAUCUUUUGUUAACUCAAUUGUUUUCUACUUUGGUAUUGGAGGUCUUUGCAGCUUCACACCUGCUCCUCUUUGUUCAUUAGCUGGAUCUCAGUGUUAUGCUUGGUUCCACUCGGCGUGAUAAGUUAUCUAUCGCUGAGGACACUGUAAAAGGUGGCCAAGGUAAAUGCAGAUGAACCGCUUCUAAUACUCCAUUGACUUGGACAAUACUUUUAUGAUCUGAUCUCAAAUCAGGUAGGACUACCCGCUGAACUUAAGC
rnacentral:misc_RNA from 1 species